rnacentral:rRNA from 1 species
AUUGAACGCUGGCGGCAUGCCUUACACAUGCAAGUCGAACGGCAGCACGGGAGCAAUCCUGGUGGCGAGUGGCGAACGGGGUGAGUAAUAUAUCGGAACGUGCCCAGUAGUGGGGGGAUAGCCCGGCGAAAGCCGGAUUAAUACCGCAUACGACCUGUGGGUGAAAGCGGGGGAUCGCAAGACCUCGCGCUAUUGGAGCGGCCGAUAUCAGAUUAGCUAGUUGGUGGGGUAAAGGCCUACCAAGGCGACGAUCUGUAGCUGGUCUGAGAGGACGACCAGCCACACUGGGACUGAGACACGGCCCAGACUCCUACGGGAGGCAGCAGUGGGAAUUUUGGACAAGUGGGCGCAAGCCUGAUCCAGCCCAUGCCGCGUGUGGGAAGAA